UACAAACAGUUGAGACAGUUAAUACAACACAGAGAAGAAAUGAAAACAGAAUUAACUAAACUUCAGGAAGAAAAUAACAGUUUAUUAGGAAAACAUAUUAUGCAAGCUCAACAAAUGCAAAGUGAAAUUAUAAAUUUUCCUGAUAAUCCUGAGG